GAGUCGUACAGUUUUAUUUCUAAUCAAGCGUGCUCUUGCUCAGGCAGGGGAAUCAACUCUUAGGCCAGUCUUGGAUGUAUAGUGAGACGCAGAAACAAAACAAACCCACCAACCACAAAAGCCCCUUGUGUUUGAAUUGAGAUGGCUUCCUUCAUCCUGGUUUCUCCUCAAGUAUCCUCCACCGAGUGGGCUUCCCAUCAAUGUUUCUGAACCCAUAAUGUUGAGAUUUCCCUGACUUACACUCUGUGGUAUCAUCUUGCUUGUUUGUUGUUGUUUUUAAGAGAGCGACUCAUUCUGUAUGCAUCCCUGACUGCCCUGGAAUUCUAUACAGACCAGGCUGGCUUCAAAUUCAGAGAUCUGCCUGUUUCUGCCUUCUGAAUGCUGGGAUCAUAUAUGAACCACCACUGCCAGCUAUGUCUUGAUUUUUUUUUUUUUUCAGGAUGAUCUGAGACCUGUGUACUAUGCAAAGAACAGAUUUGGGGGGGGGGGAAGCUAACAGUCUUCUCUGAGUUUUAAGUCCUGUUUGUGUUGAGUUGAAACACUUAUACUAAUGAGUAGACACAAAAGGAAUCAGAUAGGCUAGGUGUAGUGGCUCAUGUCUUUAAUCCCAGUACUUGGAAGGCAGAGGCAGGCAGGUCUCUGUAGAGAGUUGGAGGCCAGCCUGGUCUACAAAGUGAGUACAGGAUAGCCAGGGCUUUUACACAGAGAAACCUUGUCUCAACAAAACAAAAGAAAACAAAACAAAACAACAAGCAAACAAAACAAUAAAACAAACACAAACAACGAACAAAAGGUAGUGGGAGAUCCCUGAUUCUAUUUAAAAAGAUAGAAACAUAAAGCAUCUACAAAAGAACAGGCAGUGUUGACAGGAAUCAAGCUAACUGGAUAGAAU
rnacentral:lncRNA from 1 species